GGUGGAGGCUGAGAAGCCGUCUGCCAUUAGGCAUGUUUAUCCUCACAAGUAGGAGAUUUGUAAGCUGAAACAUCAGGUGAAUAAAUGAGCUGUGUUGCUGUAUGAGAUACUUUUGAGGGAAAACCAGGGGAUGAUAAGAACCGUAAAAGAAGACUGGCAAUACCUACGUUUCCUGGAGUGCUACAGAUACUCUGAGUGCUAAGGCCUUGCCAGCAUCCUGCUGCCUUAAAAGAUCGCCAGGCUGGUGGCUGAAGACAAUGAUGUUCAGUGAUGUUAAGCUAAGGAGUUGCACGCAGCAGCUGUGAAUCCCUGGAAGACUUUCUGCUACAGCAAUCCUGUGCUAUCCUGGGUUCAAUUAGAGAUAACAUAGCAAAUUCCAUAAUACAGUUUACUGCAAGUAAAGGUCCUUUACUUCCCUUGGAUUGAGAUUGACAUGCAGCUGCAAAUAUAUCUCACUGUUUAUUGGUAAAUCAUAAAGGGCACGGACCUAAAGAGCUUUGAUUAUAGUCAAGAAAAAAACCUCACUCUUAGCCAAAUUAUACUGCAGCUUUUUGAUUUAUAGCUUUAUGGCAUAGUUGUGGUUUUGAAUCUGUUACUGUGCUUUCAGUUUGAGGACUUUUGAACGCAGACAGAUGCUUUGUUGCUUGCCAGUAGGAAAGAGAAGAGCCUUUUGUAAAAGCAGCAGUUUUAGUGAGAAUUCCGUGGCUAAGGUUCGUACUAGUCUGACCUUUCUUUAAACUGUAUGCAGCAGUCUUUUUUUAUUUUUUAUGAGAUGAAAAGGAUUGAUAACCUUGCUUAGCUUUGCUCCAUGCUAUG